GACGAACGCUGGCGGCGUGCUUAACACAUGCAAGUCGAACGAUGAACUCCAGCUUGCUGGGGGGAUUAGUGGCGAACGGGUGAGUAACACGUGAGUAACCUGCCCUGGACUCUGGGAUAACCCCGAGAAAUCGGAGCUAAUACCGGAUAGGACCUUCUCCCGCAUGGGGGUUGGUGGAAAGUUUUUCGGUUUGGGAUGGACUCGCGGCCUAUCAGCUUGUUGGUGAGGUAAUGGCUCACCAAGGCGUCGACGGGUAGCCGGCCUGAGAGGGUGACCGGCCACACUGGGACUGAGACACGGCCCAGACUCCUACGGGAGGCAGCAGUGGGGAAUAUUGCACAAUGGGCGCAAGCCUGAUGCAGCAACGCCGCGUGCGGGAUGACGGCCUUCGGGUUGUAAACCGCUUUUGUCAGGGAAGAAGCCUUUCGGGGUGACGGUACCUGGAGAAAAAGGACCGGCUAACUACGUGCCAGCCGCCGCCGUAAAAC
rnacentral:rRNA from 1 species